CCUACGGGGGACAGCAGUGAGGAAUAUUGGUCAAUGGGCUUACGCCUGAACCAGCCAAGUCGCGUGAGGGAAGACUGCCCUAUGGGUUGUAAACCUCUUUUGUCAGGGAGCAAUUGGCGCUACGUGUAGCGUUAUCGAGAGUACCUGAAGAAAAAGCAUCGGCUAACUCCGUGCCAGCAGCCGCGGUAAUACGGAGGAUGCGAGCGUUAUCCGGAUUUAUUGGGUUUAAGGGGUGCGUAGGCGGAAUGCCAAGUCAGCGGUAAAAUCGCGGGGCUCAACCUCGCUCCGCCGUUGAAACUGGCGGUCUUGAGUGGGCGAGAAGUAUGCGGAAUGCGUGGUGUAGCGGUGAAAUGCAUAGAUAUCACGCAGAACUCCGAUUGCGAAGGCAGCAUACCGGCGCCCAACUGACGCUGAAGCACGAAAGCGUGGGUAUCGAACAGGAUUAGAUACCCGUGUAGUC
rnacentral:rRNA from 1 species